rnacentral:lncRNA from 1 species
CGGAGCCAGUCUCGUGUGCUCUGGGGGUAGCGGGGAGCUGCCCGCUUCAGCUUGGAUUCACCGUGUUGUGCGUGAUUCAGGUCGGUUCUGGAGGCCUCCAAGAUGAGUGAGUGAAACACACCAGUGUGUGUUUUCUUCUGGCAUCUGCAGGGCUUCAAGGCCGAACGAAGCAGUGGGCAGGUCCCGACUCUCCUGUUUGGCUUCCGACACCAGGCGCUCUCUGUAAAGGUGCCUGGGGACUCCAUCUCCAUGCAGGCCACUUAAAGACAGGAAGGCCAACAAAGUCCACACGCAAUUGUAAACAACUCAGCUGACAUGCUAAUCCAUUGUUUUACCUCCUUUUCAAUGAGGAAUGAAGACUGUUCACCAGCUAGACACGGGAAGUUUAGUCACGAGACGGGUUUAUCUAACAGCAAGCCUCGGAUCCCCUGUUCCUCAUAGCUAAGGGAGAGAGGGGAAUGAGGACAGGAGUGGAGGCAGGGGUGAGCAAGCACAGGCCCCCAGAGGGAACAUGGGAGAUGAGCAUGAAGGGGCCCCUGCUUAGGAGCAGGGGAGUUCCCCACGUGCAGGGAAACUUCCAGAAGAAAGUCCUAGAGGCCCUUCCACUGCUGGGGGGAGGGGAGGAGUGACAGAAAAGCCUGAGAGAGAGGCAGAGGGACGGAGGCAGAGAGAAGGGGAGCGAGUGUGAGAGAGAGACAGAAAGCAGACAGACAGAGACAGACAGACAGAGAAGGGGAGUGAGAGAAGGAGAGAGGAAGAGACAGGGAAAGGAGGGAGACAGACAGGAGACAGAGAUGGGAGAAUCUAAGGGAAGAGAAGAGCGAAGGAGAUGGGAAAGUCUGGGGACCCAGGGUAACAAACACAGACUUUGCGGCAUUCCACAAAAUCGUCUAAAAUAUGAGCUUUUCCACGGAAGCUGGCCCACCCUGGGUAAAGUACUUACCCCAUUUUAGUUUCUCCUCUAUAAAAUCAUGUCGGCCCAAGCAGGAUUGCCUUGAUGAGCUGCCCAGAGAGCCACGGUGGGCUGAGCCGCUGACAGCCAUGCCUGUCCUCUUGCGGGUCGGGCUGAGCCGCUGACGGCUGUGCCUGUCCUCUUGCAGGUCCCAGAGAUUCAGGGAGAAACCUGCAGACACACCAUGCCCCCACGGCCUGCCUGGGUACGUGUCAUUCCCAUCUCUCAGUCCCCAGGGAUUCACAGCAGCCUGGCCCUCUGCUCUCUGCAGCAAGUUCCUACAUCAGUGCUGUGUCCUGCAGACACUUGGGGAGCACCUUCCAUGCAGGGCAGCCACAGCCAGACCAUGCACCAGGCCCAACAUCCAGCCAGGAGGUGGGGCCCACAGGGACUCCACCUUCCCCUCUGGAUGGCGGGCACGUGCUUGGCAGCCGGCGAACCUCUGCAGUGGGCCCAGGGGCAACACUGGAGCUGCAUUUAUUUCUCCAAGACCCAUCACAUGACUCACGUGACUCCUCCAGGAGUGAACUCCCGUGGUGGCAUCUUCUCUUCCCCCGUGUGGAGCUGCCUUCUGAGACGCAUGGCGAAUGACGGACCUCAACCUCCAGGGCUGUUGUUCAGAUGCCGCCGGGCACUGGGCCCUGGCCACAUCCCAGACAGCUGUAUCAGGAAGUCACCCCCCUCCCCUCAUCCACAGGGGAUGAAACCAGAGCACAGAGAUACCAGAAGAGCUGCAAGCAACCCCUGGCAGAAGAGGCGAUGGCAUGGAACUGAGGCUCAGGGCAGCGCUGGAGGAAGCACUUGUGCCCUGUUUUGUGGAGUAUGGUGCACAGGGGGCCAGACUUGUGGGAGGUCACUCCCCAACCCCGGGAUGAAACCUGUCCAGGGCACUUGGAAGCCCUCCAUGCCCAUCUCAUGAGGAGGGCAUGGAACUGAGACCAGGCUUUGGCAGCCACCUUCACACCAGCCUGUGCUCACAUCACCCCCAGCCCGUGGCGAUGCUGCUGGGGCUCAGCCAGCUCCCCGCACUGCUGGAGUGGAAGAGGAAAGGAGACCCCAGCCCAGCCAGCAUUGUGGCAGCCUCAAGCCUCAGCCUGGACAACAUGCUGGCAUCUGCCUCCAAAUCUGCAGUCCCUGAAGCCAGCGGUGUGUGUCCCAGGGUCAAGCCACCUGCUGGAGAAAAGUUAAACCUAAGGAAGAAACACAGGUCCCUGGGAUUUAAGCCAAUGAAUUUAUUUUUUGCAAUGAAUCAAAUUUUUUUAUCAUUAAAAAAUGUGAUAAAC